rnacentral:lncRNA from 1 species
UUUCUGGGAUGAGUGCGAGUUGGGGGCCGAGGGAACACGGAUGUGGGGUGCAGAACGCUGUAGUGGGGACCUCCAGGCCGGCUUUUGCUUGCACCGAAGGGAAGAAGAAACUACACUGCGGGGACGAGCGUAAGAGUGGGCACGAGCGACAAAAGGUCGUGAAGCGGGUGGGAAACCGAGCACUGGAAUCAUGGAGCCGAAGGACUCUGGGCGAGCAGAACUGGAACCUUCGGAUUAUUUACACUCUUAUUCAGGUCUUGGAGGUCCUUACCUAUGAGGUAGGUGCUGGAGGAAGAGCUGAUCCCGUCUCUGAGGUCAAGGGCCGCACUAGGACAAGGACUGGAAUCUUGAGGGAUGGAUGUCUGGGUUCCCUGAGAAGAACUGAUUCCCAUACUGGGCUGACCUCCUCCCAUUCCCUUGCUCAUCUCCAGCCCCCUGUGCUGAGUGAGAAAGGGAGAGGUAAGCCUUAGCCUCAC